GGGAGAGGACCGAGGAUAAAAGGUCAUCCCAAGCCCAGCCUACUGGUGAAAAAACCAUUAAUCAGGCUUUGAUAUCUAUAAUAAAGGUACUUGAAUAAUGUUAUUGUAGUGCAUUCGUCCGCGGGUGUCCCGUGAGUUUUUCCCAAACGAUUUUUAAAUCGCCGACCGCAGAAUAUGACGAAAAACGGUUUUUCGUCAUAUUUUCGAUUGAUAUUUCGACAAUUUUGCUUUCCUACAGAUACAACCGGCGGUAAUUUACGCAGCUCGGUUACGGACCGUCGCCGACGUAUUUACACAGUCCUUGUUCGCCUAUCGCCCACGGAACACGAAUUAUUUCGGUUUCGUCUAUUUUCGUAACGACUUCGCGCGAUG